ACUUCAAUGAUGAUCACUUAAACCAUUCACAGACACCAUAUAAAAGUUAAGUGUAGACAAACUUCUUCAAUAUUCUUUUGGAGAUAGGGAAUCUCGCUUGACCGGGUAUGGACCAUGGUUAAAAAAUUGGCACUGAGCUU
rnacentral:snoRNA from 1 species